CGGGCUGAGUAACGCGUGGGUGACCUGCCCCGAAGUGGGGAAUAACUGCCCGAAAGGGUGGCUAAUACCGCAUAUGGCCGGCAAUCGGUUUGUCGAUCAAAGCCGUAAGGCGCUUCGGGAGGGGCCUGCGUCCGAUUAGCUCGUUGGUGGGGUAAUGGCUCACCAAGGCGACGAUCGGUAGCUGGUCUGAGAGGAUGAUCAGCCAGACUGGGACUGAGAACGGCCCAG
rnacentral:rRNA from 1 species